rnacentral:rRNA from 1 species
AUUGAACGCUGGCGGCAUGCCUUACACAUGCAAGUCGAACGGUAACAGGUCUUCGGAUGCUGACGAGUGGCGAACGGGUGAGUAAUACAUCGGAACGUACCCGAUCGUGGGGGAUAACGAAGCGAAAGCUUUGCUAAUACCGCAUAAGAUCUACGGAUGAAAGCAGGGGACCGCAAGGCCUUGCGCGAACGGAGCGGCCGAUGGCAGAUUAGGUAGUUGGUGGGAUAAAAGCUUACCAAGCCGAAGAGCUGUAGCUGGUCGGAGAGGAAGACCAGCCACACUGGGACUGAGACACGGCCCAGACUCCUACGGGAGGCAGCAGUGGGGAAUUUUGGACAAUGGGCGAAAGCCUGAUCCAGCCAUGCCGCGUGCAGGAUGAAGGCCUUCGGGUUGUAAACUGCUUUUGUACGGAACGAAAAGACUCUUUCUAAUAAAGAGGGUCCAUGACGGUACCGUAAGAAUAAGCACCGGCUAACUACGUGCCAGCCGCCGCGGUAA